GCGGUCAGAAGACGUCAGCCAGCAGGACGCGGAGCUGGGGACCACAAGGCCCGGGCGGGACCCGGGGCGGAGGGGCCGCGGCAGGUCCCCGCCAACAGAAGCCCACCGCGCGCCGCGCGGGGACACCCGGGGUCGCAGAGCGCGCGAGCUCGGGGCUCGGGACUGCGGCGAGCGCGCCGCGCCGAGGAAGGGGAGGUCCCGGGCGCGGCCCCCUCCCUGGCCAGCCCCUCACCUUCCGGGAACUCGGGCACCAACAGGUCCUGCUCGCGGCCGUCCACCUUCUGCAGAUACUGGUAGACCAGGCCGUCCUUCUCCUGCUGCGUGACGGCGUCCAGCAGCGCGUACUCGAGAGAGGUCUGCGCGGGCAGCAGGCCCGAGAGGCUGCCGCCCCGCGCCGCGGGCGCCGCCAUGUUCCGCCGGCCCGGAGGCGGCCCGGCCCCGGGCUUCAGAGCGGCGCCUCGGCCUCCGCCCCGCCAGCCCCGCCAGCCCCGCUGCGCGCCAGGCACGGUUUCUCCUUUUCCAGCAUGCGUUUCAAUGCCAGAGUCCAAAUAGCCGCAACUCCCGGGCACGUAACUAGGCUGCGGCCGCAGCCCACCCCGCCCCUUCCAGGUCCCCUCGCGGCGGCCGAGUCUGGACAUUCAGAGCGCCAGAUUCAACAGGGGAAAGACCUGCGGGGCCGCCUUCUGGAUCGCCUAGGGACCCUUCCCCAACCCUCCGCUUUGGAAACUGAAAGGUUUAAAAGCAAAAAUAAAAUAAAUAAGUCCAUAGGAGUUAAAAGGGCACACUUUUAAAACAUUCUCUUUAGAGUUCCACUUUUAGAUCAGGGUCAGCCGAUUCGACACAGCUCUGGCAACGAGAAGCAGUUCCCGCCAAGCACCCAAGGGUUCAUUCCUUGCUGAAGGAGGAAGAUACUGGACCGACCCAGGAAACUGCAGAUGUUGAAUAUCCUCGAGUCUCGGAUGAGGACACUGAUCAUACACUUAUUUGAUUAUGGUGUGACUAGUUUCACGAGUAAACCGAGGAGGCCAAGUAGUGUUUCGAACACUUACUGAGCUCAUGGCCCAGGGAUUGUACCUGAACUUGUGUUAUUUGGACAUUGGUCCACGUGAGAGAGAACUGACAGUAACUUCAUAAUAGUUUUACAAAGCUUGCUUUAUGAUACAGUUUUUGAACCUAUACUUUCCAUUAGUGCUUAAUUUUUCAAAGUAUAGUUCUUAUGUUUAUGAACCAAGUUCUGGUUCAAAAUACGAGAAUGAAAUAGCAGCUGCAGUGGGAAACUUUACAGGUGCUACUCCUAUGGUGGAUUCUCUUAGUUUUGUCAUGGUAUUAAUGGAGCAGCAGGUGUUCCUGGGCCUAGGGUUUGCAAUUUGCCAAUGUACAAGUUGCCAAAACUCAAGGUUCCCAUUGAAUUCGUAGAUUUUUCAUUACUUUUGGUUUAUUUCUUCAGCAAAAAUAAUUGUUUAAAAAAUUUAUAACAAGAAAUGGACUCAAUUUACUAAAGAUUAAUGCUUCUGUAAUGGUAAAGUCAUUUUGCCAUGUUAGAAGACACGUUUUUGGAAGAGGACAUCUGGGAAUACAAAUCUAAAAGCAAACCAAAACUAGUACAUUCAAAUAAUUGCUCUGAAAAUAUUCCAAAAUCUGUUGAAAAAGCAACAGAUGGCAAAUACCAGUCAAAACGGAAAAGAAACAAAAAGAGAAACAUAGAAGCUAAAGGAAGAGUGGACUGUGAAAUGUGCCUUGGAGAAACGGAUUGCCAGGCUUCUGUAUCUUCCAGUCAGAAUUCAAGUUGCGGAGAUGGUAUUGGCCAAUCCCAAGACCAGGUGACUACUCCAAGAAGGCACCGUACUCACAAGCUCAAGCAAGUGUCCCCAAAGACGCGUCCAGUUCAUGAUGGGUACUGUCCAUAUUGCCAGAUGCCUUUUUCCUCGCUGCUAGGCCAAACACCUCGAUGGCAUGUUUUUGAAUGUUUAGAUUCUCCACCACUGUCUGAAACAGAGUGUCCGGAUGGCCUUCGGUGUACCUCAACAAUUCCUUCUCAUUAUAAGAGGUACACUCACUUCCUGCUCGCUCAAAGUAGGGCUGGUACUGAUCCAUUUAGCUUCCCGACACGUGUGGCAGGUGGGAGUUUCAGCGAGACCCAGCCAGACUUUUCUUGUAUCCUGGAGGAAAGAUGGUCUGUGCAUCAGAAACAAACUGAGAACUUAAAAAUCGUUUCAAAUGAUCCCUUGUUGAUGACACAGUGUCUAAAAAAGUCUCAGCCUCCAACUGAAACCAACAAAAAGAUUUCUCCUGCAAACAGUCAGACGUCACAACAAGCUCUACAUUUUACAGCAUUUGUUCAGAAUGACAAACUGGUAGGAGCUGGUUUGCCUUUUGCUGGGGAAGAAUUAGACAGCCACAACAACUCACAAGGCACAAAUUUGCCAUUGCCAGAAAAUGACUUUAGCAGCUGUGAAAUCUCCUAUUCUCCACUUCAGAGUGACGAAGAAACUUAUGAUAUAGAUGAAAAGCUGGAUGAUUCACAACAGGAACUAUUUUUUACUGAGAGCUCUAAAGAUGGCAGCCUAGAAGAAGAUGACAACAGUUGUACCGAUUUUAAAAAACUCGCUGGCCCCUUCCUGAAGGACCUGGAGGAGAGCUGCCCCAAAGUGAACAGCUUCUUAACCCAGGAUAAGCACACCGAAGAAUCAUAUGAGUGCAGUGCUCUAGAUCCUGCUCAACUGAACUCCCAAAGCAAGAGUAGUAUUUCAUAUGAUGAUCCAGAAUAUGCUGAUGGGUGGGUUUUAUCAUUUUCACCUGCAUUAAGAGGGGAGCCUGCUGCUUCUAAUUGUCAAAACACUAAAGCAAAGUCUGAUGAGCAAGACUUUCACUCCUCUCAACCCAAUAAACAGAAACAGGUGAUUGAAAAUCCAACUGUGCCACUACUUCAGAGUAAGAUGUCAAAACCUUUUGAAAGCCAGGGAGGAGCGUGUCUUUCUUUUCCUCUGACCCAAAGUAAAAUCAGACAACUACCAAGUGAGAACUUCUGUACUAGAAAUGAUGUUAACUCAGCACAUUCCUGCAGAAAGGUAUUGGAUGGUGAAGUUACAGUUUUAAAUACAGAAAAAACUUCAAGUACACCUACUGCCACUAAGUCGUCUUUGAAAAUAUUGCCCGCUGGUCCUAAGUGCAGUGCAAGACAUCCUUCUACCAAGGCAAUGAAGCAAAUGGACAUAGGUGUGUAUUUUGGACUACCACCGAAAAGAAAAGAAGAGAAAUCACUGGGGGAAAGUGCAGUAGAAGGGAUAAACUUAAAUCCAGUUGUAAGUCCUAAUGGAAAGAGGUCCCGGCAGUGCAAGAGGAAAGCAGAAAAAUCUUUAAGUGAUUUAGAAUUUGAUGCAAAGGACUUAAAUGUGAGUCAGCUUUCUGUGGAACUGCCUGCUGAGAGGUCACAGCGUCAAAGGAAAAGACAUAAAAAGUCAAAUUCACCACUGGAAGGAGCACAUCGCAAGAGGUCCAGUCACCUUAUUAACAAUACAGAAUGGGGAUCAACCAAUUCAAGUAAAGAAAAUACCUUCAUAAGAUCAGGUCAUGGAAGGCUGCGAAGAGGUUACAUGAGGUUUUCAGAGUCAUCUAAUGCAGGGGAAUUAAGCAAAAAGACAUGUCCGUUCUAUAAGAAAAUACCUGGAACCCGCUUCACCGUGGACGCCUUUCAGUACGGGGUGGUUGAAGGCUGCACAGCCUAUUUUCUCACCCAUUUCCAUUCUGACCAUUAUGCUGGAUUGUCUAAAAACUUCACAUUUCCGGUCUAUUGUAGUGAGAUAACUGGCAACCUGUUGAAGAGCAAGCUUCACAUGCAAGAACAGUAUGUCCAUCCAUUGCCCAUGGACACUGAGUGUGUGGUGGAUGGGGUCAGGGUUGUUCUACUUGAUGCCAAUCACUGCCCAGGUGCCGCCAUGAUCCUUUUUUACCUUCCAAACGGUGCUGCUGUUUUACACACUGGGGACUUCAGAGCGGACCCCAGCAUGGAGCGGUCUCUUCUUGCAGGCCAGAAAAUCCACACGCUGUACCUGGACACCACCUAUUGCAGCCCGGAGUACACCUUUCCGUCUCAGCAGGAGGUCAUCCAGUUUGCCAUCAACACCGCCUUUGAGGCUGUGACUCUAAACCCCCAUGCUCUGGUCGUCUGUGGCACUUACUGUAUUGGAAAAGAGAAAGUUUUCCUAGCUAUUGCCGAUGUUUUAGGUUCAAAAGUGGGCAUGUCCCAAGAAAAGUAUAAAACAUUACGGUGCCUCAAUAUACCAGAAAUUAAUUCCCUCAUCACUACGGACAUGUGCAGUUCAUUGGUUCACCUUCUUCCAAUGAUGCAAAUUAAUUUUAAGGGUUUACAAAAUCAUUUGAAGAAGUAUGGUGGGAAAUAUGAUCAAAUUUUGGCCUUUCGACCCACAGGAUGGACGCACUCGAGCAAGUUCUCUAGUAUAGCAGAUAUUACUCCCCAGACCAAGGGAAACAUUUCAAUAUAUGGAAUUCCUUACAGUGAGCACAGCAGCUACCUAGAGAUGAAGCGUUUUGUCCAGUGGCUGAAGCCCCAGAAAAUCAUACCUACUGUAAAUGUUGGCACCUUGAAAUCUCGGAGCACAAUGGAGAAAUAUUUUAAAGAGUGGAAAUUGGAAGCUGGAUAUUGAUGAUACCACAGAGGAUUCAGCAGUAGUUAGGAUUUACAGUUGCAAUAUUCAUGCAGCGUUAUAAAAUCUCAAUUGAAAUAUUUCAACAUUUGACUUUAAGAAGAUGAUUCAAAGAGGCUACAUGGUCACCCAAUAAAGGAUGCAGAAAAGUUUGCAUGAAUGGUGUUUAUCUGAACUAUUUACUCAAGAGAUCAGUUAACUGGUCUCGCUAAGUUGCUGAGGCUGGCUUAGAACUUGUCAUCCUCCUGCCUCAGCCUCCUCAGUCUACAGAAUUACAGGCGUGCUCCACCACACCCAGCUUGGCAGAUCUUAACAUCCUAAAUGACCUACAGAGAAGGGGAAGUAGAACAAAGCCAAAGCCACACAGGGGGAGAUGCUUUACUGUUUUCUGCUUGGAACUUUCCUGAAAGCUUCUUUGCAGUCUUACCUGACAUUGAAUGUUGCAUUACCAGGAGCCCAGACACCUGAAAAGAUGGCUUCAAGUUCUUAUGAUCUUGAGCUAAUAGGAAAACCUUUCUCCCUAAUGUCAAUGCCUCUUAAAUCUAAUUUAUCACUUAUACUAUUGAAUAAUGGACCUCAAUAGGAAACUCUUUUUUGGGGCAUCUAAUUUAAAUGAAUGCUGUUCAGUUAUUGAGUUAUAUUACCGUGGAUGAAAGGCAUCCAGAAUUUAUUUGGUCCUGAAUAAUCGUUAAUAACUAAACUAAGGGAAUAAGAAGUGAAUCAUCUUCAGGUGCUAAUCUCUAUUAUUGAAAGAAUUGGUAUCAGCUUCUAACUUGCCUGAUUAUUUUACUCCUGUUCAUUUAGUUCAUUUGGUAUUGAUCUUAGAAAGAUGCCAAUAAAGAAUGUAUGUGAAAUCAGCAACAGCAUAAAUUAAUGGUUAUGGAUAAUAGAAUACUUUAGAUAUGAGAACUUCUUUGAAUACUUUAAAGCUUUUAAUUUGGCCAUCAUUUUAAUUUGCUAAUUAUGUUUCAUCUCUCCCUUUCCUCCCCAAAGUGUCUACCCUUUCUCCCAAAAACAUACUUUACAUAGGAACACCUUCCCCUCUUGAUUUCACAGUUCGAUUUUUUUCUUUUCUUAAUUUUUAAGUUAUUUUUUACAGUACUGGGAAUGGAACCCAGGACCUUGUACCUGCUUGGCAAGCUCUGCCACCGAGCCCUAGCCCCAGCCUGCACAGUCCAAGUUUUGAUAAAACAAACAAUUUACAAAGUAUUUGUGAUGUAGUGUCCCAAGUACACACAACCAGGUAUGACACAAAAUUAUUAUUUUCCUAAUGAUUUAUAGCUGGGCCAGAACAAAGGUGAGGUAGAGGAGAUGCCAUAAAUUUAAAGAGGUACUCCCUUUUAAGGCCGACCCUACACUUAUAGGACACAGAGUGACCCUGUUUCAUAGCAUCUUAUAUUCUUCUGCUUUUUGGGUGAAUAAAAAUGGAUUUGUAAAAAAAAAAAAAAAUUGUUUUAGCUUUCUCUUUAGUGUACAUGGAAACGCAAAGAUUUUUUUAAAAAAAAAUCUUAUUAUAGUUGUAGGUGGACACAAUACCUUUAUCUUAUUUUUAUGUGGUGCUGAGGACCGAACCAGGGCCACACGCAUGCUAGGCAAGUGCUCUACCACUGAGCAACAACCCCAGCCCAACGCCAAGAUUUUAAUCUGAAUUUAAGAGCGCAUUUUGAAGCAUUUCCAGAGUCAUCAAUAUCAAGCUAAUCAGUAGCAGUUUUUCUGAAGCUUAAAACCCAGAUUCCUUUGAGGUCCUUCCCUUCUGUAAAUACAAAAUACAUUAAGGGCAGCAUCUGUAUCUUAUCCAUUUUAUGACCCAGUACCUUUUUAAGUCUCACCCAGGGACAGUUGUCAUAAAUGAAAAAGGUUUGAACACAUCUUGAAUAAACAGUGACAUCUACAUUCUAACACUUGACUUCCAAAUUUCUUUUCUGUGUGUUCCUCCAGUGAAAAUAGUUUACUCCAGAAAAACCACUGGAAAUAAAAAUAUAUUGAAACUAAACACAUGGUGAAUUGUUUUAGUACAUUCCAGCACCUGUUAGAUAAGUCCAAUCAGUGUAAGAACAAUUGAGAAUUUCAUAUGUGUUUGAGAGACAAAUUUCUGAGAAAGGGGACCCUGGGUGGACUGAGCUUGCAGAUCUACUUGGUGAAACAGAACACAUAAGGAAGUCCCUUAGAAACAAUAAUAUGUCACCAGUUCAUGGUGAUCAGUUGGACUUGUCUUUAAACAACUGAUUUGUUUUAAAUCAAACAUGGUUUUCUGUAGGUGCUACUCUUAAUGUUUUGGACUGGAUUUUGUGGUUUUAAAUUCCAGUAGAAAUACAGUAGUUUGCAUAAGAAUUUAAAGACACCCGAGAACAUCAUGUGAUUUGUCCCAAGUACGUUUGACUUUUUUUCAGGAAAAAAAGAUUAGUAAAGACAAGUUGCAUUAUCUGUGUAAGCCCUUCUGUUAUUUCAAAAUGGAAAGCAAGAACUUAAGAUCAUAAAAUGGCAUCAAAGCCAGGCUUUAAUAUGCUGUUAGAUAAUGUUAUUAAACUGUUUUUAAGUCCAUUUCAAAGAACUAUUACGGACUUCCUGUUGAGGCUCUGAUUACAUAUCACAUGGGAUAAGCAGAUAAAAUUGUAAAUGAACUAAAAGCAACAGUGUCUGGAAGGGGAAUAAAGGCCAAAUGCCCUUGUUUUGCUCACUCAGCCAUGGCUUUAUUUACUUAUUUUGUCUAUUAUCCAUGGAAGGAGUGCCAGAUUCUGGGGGGUGGGGGGUAAAAUUUUUUUUUUAAACAGCUUUAUCAAGUUAUCAUUCCCAUAUCAUAAAAUUCACCCAAAGUGUACAUUUCAGUGGUUCUUAGUGUAUUCAGAGUUGUGUCCCCAUCACCAUUCCAGAACAUCUUUAUCAUCCACCAAGAAGCCCGAGGCCCGUUAGCAGUCACUCCUAUUUUCUCUCACUUGCCCCCCCCACCCUAGGCGACAACUGAUCUUCUUUCUGUCUCUACGGAUUUACUAUUCUGAACGUUUAUUGUAAACAGAAUCAUAUGCUGUGUGAUCUUUUGUGACUGGCUUUUGAACUUCGCGUAGUGUUUUCAAGGUUCAUCCAUGUUUUGCCAUGUAUCAAUACUUCAUUCUUUUUACGGUCAAAU